rnacentral:tRNA from 1 species
GGGCGUGUCGUCUAGUUUGGAUAGGAUACAACCCUGCGGAGGUUGUGGCCGGGGUUCGAAUCCCCGCACGCCCA